UUUGUCCAAACUAUUAUACCUCGUCUUAAAGAUUCACUCUCCCUCGCUCUCAAACACUAUACACCCUUAGCUGGAAACCUUGUUUGUCCAAUAGAUUCGAGUGGUCAUCCUGAGUUGCGUUAUAUGCCUGGUGAUUCUGUGUCUGUUACCUUUUCUGAGACUGAUAUGGAUUUCAAUUAUCUCAUUGGUAACCAUCCCCGAAAUGCUAAGGAUUUUUAUCCCUUGAUUCCUCAAUUGGCGGAACCUAAAGAUGCACCCAGGCUAAUACUAGCCCCGUUGUUAGCCAUUAAAGUAACACUUUUUCCGAAUCUUGGCAUAUCCAUCAGUUUCAGUAACCAUCAUGCCGCUUGUGAUGGAAACACCAUAGUAAGAUUCACGAGAGCAUGGGCUUUACUCAACAAAUUCGAUGGGGAUGAACAAUCUAUAGCGAAUGAGUUCAUUCCAUUCUAUGGUAGGUCCGCAAUAAAAGACCCUAAUGAACAAGGGACUACUAUGUGGAAUAUAAUAAAGACAUUUAAGCCGGAGAUGCGUGACAUAGUUACGAUUCCUGUUGAUAAAGUUCGAGCUACAUUUAUUCUAGGACAUGAUAAAAUCGUGAAGCUCAAGAACUUAGUUUUGUCAAGGCGACCAAGCCUAGAACAUGUGACAUCUUUCACAAUAACAUGUGCUUAUGUAUGGACUUGCUAUGUAAAAUCAAAGGCCACAGUUUGGGAAGAGAAAGACAAGAAUGUACUGGAGUUCUUCAUAUGUGCAGUAGAUUAUAGAGCGCGACUUAAUCCACCACUUCCUCAAUCUUAUUUUGGGAAUUGCAUAAUAGGGUACAAUUCAGAAACAACACAUAUUAACUUAAUUGGUGAGGAAGGCUUUACAAUUGCUGCGGAAUUAAUUGGAAAAACCAUUCAAAAAAGGCUGAAGGAUGAGGAUUGGCUCCACAGUGGUAACUGGUUUAAAAGUUUUGGUACCGUUGACCACAAACGAGCGUUUGGACUUACUGGAUCUCCAAAGUUUGAUUUAUAUGCUACUGAUUUUGGUUGGGGUAAACCAGCCAAGUUAGAGUCCAUUUCUAUUGAAAGUGGAGAAGGUGGUGCAAUGUCCCUCAGCAAGUCUAGGGACUCUGAUGGAGACUUAGAGAUUGGCUUGUCUUUGUCGAAAGCUCACAUGAAUGCAUUUGCUUCUAUAUUCAGUCAUGGACUAAGCUUUGUGUAGUAACCUAAGCUUGUUUGGAUGGUUGUUACCUAUUGUAUUGUGUUGUUAGUUAUUUUGUAGUUCUUUCUUUAUCUCUUAGUAUAAGAGUGUAACAUCUUUGUGGAUGCUACAUGUUAGUUAUUUAUCCACUUGUUCCAAGCUGUGAUUUAGUCCAGCUCAUUUAGCCAGCCCAAUGCAUUUUGUCCAUCAUAAACAUUUCAAGAGGUCAAACACUAUUGGCUGGUCAAAUCUUAUAUGCAUUAACCUCGGUAAACCGUAAUCUCAAGAUUGUUUCUAUUGGGGUUGUUGUGUAUAAUUAAAAACGAUAACAUAUUUUAUGUGAUUAACGUAUUUAUUUAAUGUACGCUUGAGAACAUGUGCAAAAAUAUUAUUCAAAUUGAAAAUAUCUACUAAAAAAUAUUUUACAGGUGUUUCAAUUUAAAUGAGAUUUAUUAGCAAAUUUAAAGACAUUCAAACACGGCAGUUUUUUAUGUGGCUCUGGAUGGCCGCAAUGCAAAAUCAGCCACGUAGCCGAUCCAUAAUGCAUCGAGACAACAGUUCAAAUUACAACCACGCACAUUUACUGCCGUGUGGUCGAUAAGAUAUACUGGGAUGGAUUGAGACAUUUAGAUUCACAUAAACUCAAUGACUUAUUUAUGAACUUCAAAAUAAUAUGAAUGCGAUUACAAAAUCUAUUGGUAAUAUACUUAGAAAUAUUUAAUUAUGUUAUAUUGUUUUUCGGGUAGGUUAAAAAAAAUUAUAUUUUUCAACGAGAACUUCAACUAUAAGUUUAAAGAACUGAUAAACAACCACAAGGAGUUCAAACUAUUUAGUAGAAAAUAGCUAAACCAAACAUCUAAAAAAAAAAAGAUGAAUAUAGAAAGAUUCAAGUCUAUUGAAUUCACGGUUUGUCCUUAAGAAAAUUAUUCCCCUUAGGUACUUGAGGUUAUGAAAUAUAUCCUCACAGGAUAAAAUGAUUCAUAUUAAUAGAAUAGUGAUACCUUAAAUUCUGUCGAAUACAAAUGCACUCAAUGAUUUGUAGAUAACGCUUGAAUUUAUACAAAGACGCAAGUUUAUAAUUUCAAAAUUUUGUGUCAAUGCCUGAGGAAAAAUCAGGGAUUUAUAGCCAAAAGAUGUUCCUUCUGAAAAGAAAAAAUGGUUCGUGAAAUUUACAACUUUUUAAAAUGUCGCGAGUAUGACAUCGGGACCCUACAUGCAGCUAUACAUUGCGACAUGCAUCCGCAUGUCAGCCAUUGCACAAAACAGUGUGUUUUGGCUGACUUGUGUUGGCACAUGUGCUAGCAUCUGUGUAAUCAGAUGGCCAAGUGCGUCGGCAAGUCUCACUUUCAUUUUCAAAUAGUGCCUCGAAGGGUCGCGUCCCUUCGAGGUGCGUUAUGACUGCACAUGCUCGUGUGUGUCUACAAAUAGACAAAAAUUUCGUAUAAGAUUUUUGGAUUAAAAAUCAUUAACUCUCAAGUUUCAAAUGAAUUUUUUAAAAAAAGAUAAUUUUUAGAUUAUUUUCCAAAUGCAAAUUUGAAGUCAAAGCCGAGCCGAGCGACAACGACAACACGAGUCUUCUUCUUGCCUCACUAUCCACGUGAAUGAAUGCUUCUAUAUUUAAGCAUGAAAUAGUUUUUCUACCACCAAUAUGGGAGAACACUUCUUCCACAGAAUGAAUACUUUUUUUUGUUUUUCCUCCAUUUUUCAUUCACUUUCAUCACUAACCCAACAAUCCCAACAUGAAUGCGAAUGACUUAUUUAUCAAAAAAUUAUAGGAAAAGUGUGUGAUCUAAAAGUAAAGACUAAUUGAAUCUGGAUAUGUAGGUUUCUUUUGAACUUUUCGUAGUGAACUUGUGUUAGAUACACUCGGUAGAUGCGAUAUCUUUGAACCUUCAAACUUUUGUAUACAUCUAGAAAACACAAGUCACACAACCAGUCUUUUACCAUUUAUGAUUCUCACGAUUUUGCUUGUUUCAUCCAUGAACUACCUGGAUUCAUAAGAGCUUAGAGAAUAGGCCUUUACUAUCAUUCUCCUUAAAGUGGCUUCCACUUUAUCCUCACAUAGGUAAUUUCUAAACGUUUAAUGCUAUAAAUCAAACUAUAUGGUCAUACUUGCCAAACUUAGAAACCAUUAAAAAGCUUUAAUCCAUAAGCUUUAUCUCUGUUUUCUAAACAUUGUCUUUGUUAUGAGAAUAAGUUGAGUUAAUUGAAAAUAUUGAACCAUCAGUCACAACUUUGUUUGAUCUCCUUGAACUUAACUCUUGAAAUCUCUAGUUUGCUAGGUAGAGUUACCGCCGUGAUGGCUUGUUUUAGGCCUUCAACCCAUUUUCUUCGAGGACCUCGCAGCUCCCUCUCUAGUUAGUGAAAGUAGUAAUAGGGGGUGAAUUACUCCUUUCGACUUUCUUCAAUAGACAGUCCACUAUUGAGUGUAGUAAUGAAAACAUCUGAAAAUACAAUGCUGAAGGUAAUUAGCACCAGAUAUUUUAUAUUUAUUGGGACCUCUAAUAGGUCUUACUCUAGUCCCCUUGGAUUGCAAGAGAUUCUACUAGUUUGUUUUGUGAAAAAAAUUAAAGUACAAGAUUGAGUCAAGAUUUUUUACGUUGACUCACAUUCUGUUCUUUUUACCACACUUUGUUACAAUGCCUCACCAACUAUGUAUUUAUCUCCUCUCUUUUUAAGUAAAUAGUAAAUAUUUAAGAGCAUACAAUGCUUAAGUAGAGCAAAGAACUAGAGAAAGUCAAUGGUUAUAUAGUAGUGUUUGCACUGCUACUAGCCGUUGGAAGUUAGAAGGCAAUCCAAAAUAUUUUUCUUCUUAGGAAAUGGAAUAAGAAAUAUUCAUUUUCUAAGAAUAAGUAAAGAUUAAAAUAAAAAUCUAACUAAGUACAAUAUAUACACAAAAGAGAGAUACAGAAAUCCCAUGAAAUUAGUAAUCCAUUUAAUGCAUCAGAUUUUUUUUCUUUUUUGCCAUGUCUUUUGUUACUCAACAAAAUUUUCUGAUAGAACUUUCUUCAAUCUAUUCAUAGUAACAUGUGUUUUCUUUUUUUGUUUGCCAAUCUUCUUGAUUUACUCUCCUUAGAAUCUCCAGCAAUCUUCCUUUUCUUCUUGUGAAAUGCUUCUUCCUUUUUGAGUUUUAUUCAAACUAAAUAUUCUUGGUACUGAAUUCCUGCAAUUAAAUCAAACUCAUUGGUCAUUCAAAAAAAUCUUAACAUUAUCAAUCUCCUUUUUUUUUUAAAUGGAUGACAAAAGAAAAUUAGAUUACUUCCCUGCUUAGGUUCUCCCCUUGAAUGAGUAACUCUCCCCUAAAUAACUUUUUCUGCAAGGUUAAAUACACCAUAUACACCAUUUCUCUCCCUUUGAAAUCAAUCAAAAAGGAAGAAAGACAACACACACAAAAUACCAACUAAGUAGGAGCAAGCAGGCAAACUUUAUUAAGUGAUCUUUGGCUCAAAAAUGUUUUGCAAUUAUAACAAAGGAUUUUCUAAGAGAACCAAAUCUUUCUUCAAGCAAAGGUUUAGUAAAAAUGUCAGCCAAUUGAAAAUCAGUGCUCAAAGAUAAUUUAAUAUCUCAUUUUGAAACAUGAUCUCUAAUAAAAUGAUGGUAAACAUCAAUAUGUUUUGCCCUAGAAUGAUGCACAGGAUUCUUAGACAAGUAAAUAGCACUAGAGUUAGCAUAGAAUAUUUUGACAAGUUUAAACGUAGAUCAUAAUCACUGAAUUGAUAAGGCAUCCAAAGAAUUUGGGCACAACACAAUCCAAUAGCAAUAUACUCAAAUUUAGUGAAGGAUAGUGAGACGUGAUUUUAUUUCUUGCUAUUCCAUGAACCAAGGGAUUGUCCCAUGAAUUGGCAAGUACCACUGGUGUUUUUUCUAUCCACUUUAUCACCUGCAUAAUCUGUAUCUGAGAAACCUUUUAAUAUAAUUUCAAUAGACUUAGGAUACCAUAAGCUACAUGAGUUUUUAUCAAUAAGGUAUCUAGUAAUAUGUUUCACAACAUUUAGAUGAGCUUCUUUAGGAGCUAACUGAACCCUGGCACGUUUACAUACUAAAAAGAAUGCCAGUUUGACUGGCUAUAAGAUAUAAGAGUGAAUCAAUGAUACCACGAUAGUUGGUUUCAUCAACACUUUUACCACCUUCACAUGACUUUAGAACACAAGUGGAACUCAUAGGAUUAUUAGAUGAUUUGUCAUUUUCCAUCCCACAUCUUUAAAUAAGAUCUUUGGUGUACUUACUUUGGUAGAUGAAUGUGCCCUCAAUAGACUAAUGGAUUUGUAAUCCAAGAAUGAAUGUUAAUUCUCCCAUCAUGCUCACUUCAAAUUCACUUGCAUUAAUUCAGAGAAUUCCUUGCACAAAACAGCAUUAGUAUUUCUAAAGAUAAUAUCGUCAAUAUAAAUUUGAAUGAUCAAAUUUCUAGAGAAGGUUCAUUUGAUAAACAAAGUAGUAUUAAUUUUUUAUCUUGUGAAAUCAUGUUCAAUUAGAAAGUUGCUCAGUGUAUCAUACCAAGUUCGAGGAGCUUGUUUUAGAUCAUAAAGAGUUUUGGAGAGUUUGAAGACAUGAUAUGGAAAGUUUGAAUUUUCAAAAUCUGGGGAGUUGUUUUACAAAAACUUGCUCAUUAAUAAAUCCAUUUAAAAAAAUACUUUUCAUAUCCAUUUGAAAUAAUUUGAACCCUUUAUAAGAUGCAUAAGCAAGUAAAAUUCUAAUAGAUUCUAACCUUGCUAUAGAUGUGAAGGAAUCAUCAUAAUCGACUCCUUUUGUUGUGAGUAGCCUUGAGCGACUAGGCGAGCUUUAUUUCGCAUAAAGUUACCCGAUUCAUCCAUUUUAUUUUUGAAUACCCAUUUGUUACCAAUAAUAAAGACAUUCUCUGGUUUUGGAACAAGAGUCAACACAUUAUUUCUUUCAAACUACUCAAGAUCUUCUUUUAUUGCCUUUAACCAGCUAUCAUCUUCUAAGGUUUCAUUGACUUUCUUUGGUCCAAGUUGAGAUACUAGGGCUAUGUUCGCAUUUCUCCUAUUAGAUGCCCAUUUUUGCAUUCCUUUUUUUAGAUCUCAAACGAUAAAUUUCUUUGGAUAAUCAGGCUCACUUCUCCAUUCAUUUAGAAUUGCUUCUUGUUUAACUUGACCAUUUGAAGCAAUAACAAACUAGUUAGUUUCAGUACUGGCUAGUUUGGAAGAGAAGUCCUCCUUAGUAAAAGGAGUUUUAUUAACUUUUACCUAUUUAAUCUCAUCGUCCACAGAGCUAACAUUCUUUACAUAAUGAUUAAUAUUAUCAGAAACAACAAGUAUAGAUUCCUCAAUGUAAAGAGUGUAUUUAUUGAAAAUUCUAUAUGAUCUACAAGAUUUAGAGUAGCUCAUAAAAAUACAUGCAUCGCUUCAUGGAUCGAACUUACCAAUGUUGACCUUGCUAUUGUUGCAUACAAAAUAUUUUGAGCCAAAUGCAUAAAAGUACCCAAUGUUGGGUCUUUUAUUGUUUUAAAGCUCAAAUCGAGUUUUCUUCAGAAUAAGUCUAAUGAGACACCUAUUUAAAACAUGACAUGCAGUACUGGUGGCUUUUUCUUAUACUUUAUGUAGUAGAGAGUGUUUUCAAAUCAUGGUUCGAUCUAUGUCUAGAAGUGUUCUAUUUUUCCAUUUAACAACACCAUUUUAUUGAGGGGAUCUUGGAGAUGAGGAGAUAAAAGUGUUCCCUUGAGUAUCACAAAAGAUUUUGAAAUCUUUAUUCUCAAAUUCUCCCCCAUGAUAACUUCUAAUGGUAGAGAUAUAGUAACCCUUGUCUCUUUGAAACUUUUCACAAAAAACUUCAAAAUUCUUUUACCACCAAUGCUAUCAGUUCUAGUUGGACGAAAUAAAUCCAUAUGAAGUAGUUGCAAGGAUUUAGUUGUGGACACUAUAUCUUUAACACAAAAAUAAUUUUUGGUUUACUUACCAAGAUGACAUGCAUCACAAAUAUUAGUCAUUUUAAAAUCAAUAUUUGGCAAUCUAGUCACAAGUUCAUACUUGACUAAUUUUUCAACAUGGCUCAUGCUUGCAUGACCAAGUUUUCUAUGCCAAACUCAGGGAUCAUCAGAUAUGGAGGCAAGACAUAUGUGUCCUUAUGUCUUAUUGAUAGAGUCUAGAACAUACAUAGUGUUGUGUUUGUUUCCAGCGAGGAUUUGCCUUCUAUGCUUUUCGAUUAUGCAUUCUUCCCUUUUAGAUCUUACCUCCAACCCAACAUUAUAUAGCUAACUGAUACUUAAUAGGUUGUACUUCAAGUUUUUGAUCAAAUAAACAUUAGUAAUAUCACAUGAAUUAUUAAAGGAGAUAGUACCAAUACCUAUUAUUUUUCUUUGGAGUUAUCUCUAAAGCUGAUGUCACCUCCAUCAAAAUCAAUUGUAGUUUCGAAAGAAUUCUUUCUUCCAGUUAUAUUAUUUGAACAUCCACUAUUGAGAUACCAUUUCCCUUUAGAUUUUGAGUGGAGUUCCUGAAAACUAGAUGUAUCACUUAUUUUUAGGUACCAAAGCAUUCUUGUGUCUCUUGAGAUUAGCCUUUAAAUUUGUUGGCUCAGUUUUGGGUCUCAAAAUCCAUUUACUAGGAUUUUUAUAGCAAAAUCUGCCAUUAUAAUAUUUAUGACCAGGCUUCCCAUUUUGAUAACAAGAAGUAUACUAUUGAUUAGUCGUUGUAUAGUAAGUAUUGUAACUACGACUAUGUCUCCUAGUUUACUGGCUUGAGUUAGUUAACCUUUGAGAUCAAUCAUAGCUAUAGUACAUUUGGUGAUAGGUAUUAGGACUAUGAUUGCUCUCUUUGGUUUACUCGAAUUAGUUGAGAUUUGACAUCCUUCAUAGCUAUAAUAUCUAUUACUAUCAGAUUUAAUUAUUGAGUUAGUCAACUGGUUUAACAUGACAAUACUCUGGGUAGGAGAUUUUUCAAAACUAUUAAUCUUGAUUUUUAAAUCAUCAAAUUCUUCUUGUAGGUACUCUUUUUUUAUUUGACAAACAUUAAGUUUAAACUCCCAAUCUCUUAUUCUCUUAAUAGAGAUUUUUUACUUCAUGGGCUUUAUUUUAAUCAGCUAUGGUGAAGUCCAACAAAUUUUGAAGUUUUGAACUUUCAUUAGAGGAGAUAACUCUUACCUGGCUAGAUUCCUCAAUUGCCAUAAAGCAACAGUAUCCAAUGUUAUCAUUUUCCUGGCUGAUGCAGCAGCUGAAUGUCUUUUGAUUUCCCUUGGAGGUUCUUCUUCUAGCUUCUGGACAAUCAUAAGUAAUAUGAUCAUAUCUACCAUAAUGUUUUCCCUGGGAGUAAUUUAGUCUUCCCCUUCUUUGAUUUCUAGAUCUUUUGUAAUUUUUCAUAAUUGUUCUUGUGAUAAGAGCAAGUUCAUCUACAUCCAGGUCAUUAUAUUCUUUUUCAUUUGUAGCUUUGAAGGCCACAAUUUUCUUCUUUUCCUGUUGGUAUUGGUCCAUAUUAUUUAAGUGAGCCUUUUCAAAGGCAAUACGGUAUCCUCUGACUUCAUCGUAGGUCAUGUUGUUCAAGUUUAUGCUUUCAAGAGCCAUAACCUUAGAAAUUCACUAAGGAGAUAAACUUCUGAUAAUCCUUAUAAUUUGAUCUACCACAGAAUAGGUUUUUCCUGCAGCUUUGAGUUCCCCAACAAUUUUUCCAAACCUGGUAAAUGUUUCUUUAAUGGUUUCCCCCUCUUUCAUUUAGAAAAGUUUGUGUCAUAGACGAAUAACUUACAAGAGCUUGUUUGACCUUCUCAAUUCCUUCAUAUGUUACUUUUAGUUUAUCUUAUAUUUCUUUGGGAAUUUCAUAGCAGGAAAUCUUCUCAUACUCUUUACAACUGAUUGCAUUAUAUAGAAUAUUUUUAACCUUAGAGUUGAUCAAAAUGAUCUCUAUUUUCUCAACAGUAUAAUUCUCCAAGGAUGGAAUGCUCUCAGUAGAUUUUUCUCCAUUUUUUGGUGUCUUUCCAUUUUUGUCUUUGUUAGUAGAGACAAGUGGAAGAUCACCAAGUUUUAUUACUCGCCAAACUUUGACAUCAUACGAUUUUAUGAAGGCCUGCAUCCUUAUUUUCUAAUAAGAAAAGUGUUUCUCAUUAAAAUAAGGAGGUCUAGUUUGAGAUGUCCCUUCAGAGAACAGUGCUCUAGUAAUAGUUUGAUCCAUGAUCUUUUCUCAGUUGUUUUUAGGCAAAUACUUGUGAGUCCUUUCUCUGGUACCAAUUGAAAGUAGUGAGAGGGGGUGAAUUACUCCUUUUUCGAUUAGAAAUUGACUUCCAUCAAUAGAUAGUCGACUAUUGAGUACAAUAAUAAAAACUUCUGAAAAUAAAAUAUUGAGGGUAAUUAACACCAAAUGUUUUAUACUGGUUGUGACCACUAAUAGGUCUUACUCCAUUCCCCUUGGGUUCUACUAGUUAUUUUUGUGAAUAAAAUCUAAGUACAAGACUGAUUCAAGCUUUUUGGAUUUAACUCACACUCUCUUAUUUAUACCAUACUUUGAUACAAUGCCUCACCAACUAUGUGCUUCUCACCUCUCUUUUUAAGUACACAGUAAACCCUUAAGAGAAUAUAAUGCUUUAGUAAAGUAGAGCAAAGAACUAGAGAUGGUUGAGAUAAGUGUAUGUCUCUUUAUCUGACUUCCAAUGGUUAUAUAAUAGUGUUUGGACAACUACUAGUUGUUGGAAGCUAGAAGGCAACCCAAAGAAUUUUUAUUCUUAUGUGAAUAAGGAAUAUUCAAUUUUUAAUAAUAAAUAAAGACUAAAAGGAAAAUCCAACUAAGUACAAUAUAUACACAAGGGAGAGACACGACAAUCCCAUGACAUUAGUAAUCCAUUUAACGCAGCAAAUCUUUUUUCCUUUUUUGUCAUGCCUUUUGUUAAUCAAUAGAAUCUUCUGAUAGAACUUUCCUUAAUCUAUUCAGAGUAAAAUAUCUUUUCCUUUUUCGUUAGCCUAUCUUCUUGAUUUACUCUCCUUAGAAUCUGCAACAAUCUUCCUUUCCUUCUUGUGAGAUACUUCUUUCUUUUUGAGUUUUAUUCAAACUAACUAUUAUUUGUACUGAAUUCCUACAAUUAAUCAAACUCAUUGGUCAUACAUUAAAAUCUUAACAUUAUCAGUAGGCCCUCUGUAAGUGAAUCCAACAAAUUAUCCUUUAACUUUACAUAGUCAAUUGUAUAAUUCCACUACAGAGUAGUUCUCCAAUGAUAUUAUGUCUCCAGCUUAUAUAAUGAGAUUUACCAUUAUACAUCAUGCUCCUAGCCUACCUAUUGCAGCUUGACUAUCACAGUGUAUACAUACUGGUGCUAAAUGUUUGGGCCAAUAAGGAAUAUUUAAAAAAAAAAAAAUUGAAGCUACUUCACCAGUCUUAUCUAAAGCGAUAAAUUUAGAUUUCAUUGUAGUGUGAGCAAUACAUGUCUAUUUGGAUAAUUUCCAAGAGAAUGCUCCUCCACUAAAAGUAAACACAUAACCACUCAUGGAUUUUACUUCACUUUAUCUAGUGAUCCAAUUUUCUUCACUAUAUCUUUCAAUUACUAUUUGAUAUUUGUUAUAAUGCACAUCAUAGUCUUGAAUAUGUUUUAAAUAUCCCAAAACUCUUUUUAUUGGCAUCCAAUGAGUUUCAUUGGGAUUACUAGUAUGCCGACUCAAUUUACUAAUUGUACAUGCUAUGUCUAGUCGCGUACAGUUCAUGAUAUACGUCAAAUUUCUCAAUACUCUUGCAUAGUACAAUUGUGAGACACUUUCUCCUUCAUACUUUUGAAGUGCAAAUCUCACGUCUAAUGGAGUCUUGGCAAUAUUAAAAUUUAAAGACUUGAACUUGUCAAGUACUUUUUCAAUAUUUUGAGACUAUGACAAUACCAAUCAAUAUGGAGUUCCAUAAAUUCUUAACUAAGAUCACGUAACUCCAAAUUAUUUCAUAUCAAAUUUACUUUCUAACAUUCCUUUAAUAUCAUUUAUGUCAGAAAUAUCUCUACUGAUGAUCAACAUGUCAUCCACAUACAAAAAAAUAAUGACUUUGUGAUUUGGAGUUUCUUUAAUGUAAACACAUUUGACACACUCAUUAAUCUUUAAUUCACUUGCCAAUAUGGUUUUUGGUCAAACUUUGCAUGCCAUUGUUGAGUGCUUGUUUAAGUCCAUAAAGUGAUUUACCAGGUUUGCACAUUUUUGUUCUUUACUAGGAACUAUAAAAUCCUCGAGUUUUUCCCUAUAAAUUUCUUCCUUUAGUUCUCCAUUUAAUGAAGUUAUUUUCACAUUUAUUUUAUGGAUUUCAAUACCAUAUACCACAAUAACUGCAAUCAAUAUCCAAAUGGAUGUUAUCCUUAUUACUGGUGAGUAUGUGUCAAAAUAAUAAAGACAUUCCUUUUGACUAAAGCCUUUGACUACAAGUAUUGGCUUGUCUUUGUCAAUAGUCUCAUCAACUUUCAUUUUCCUUUUGAAGAUCUAUUUUGAACCUAAAGGUUUAUUUUCUGAAGAAAGAUCAAUCAAUUCUCAACUAUGGUUGCUCGAGAGUGAAUCAAUCUCACUAUUGACAAUCUCUUUUCAGAAGAAUGAGUCUGUAGAAGACAUGUUUCUUUAAUUGUUUGAGGCUCAUUUUUAAGAUGAAAUGUUAUAAAUCAUAUUUAAAAGAAGUCGACCUCAUUUGACAUUUACUAUGCCUUGGAUUCUCUUUAUUAAGUACAUUCUCCCUUGGUUCAUCAUUAGGUCAUUUAGACCCUUCACUAAACAACUCAUAUCUAGUCUUGUAUGGAUAAAUACAUUCAAAAAGCUCAGCGUUAUCUGAUUCAAUUAGCUUAUAAUAAUAAAUAUUCAGAUAUUUAUAUUUAUAAACAAAAAAUUGACAUGUCUUACUGUUUGUAGCAUAUUCGAUGAAAACACAGUCCACAAUCUUUGAUCCUAUCUUUAACCUUUUUAGUAUAAAGAGUGAAUUUUGGAUAAACACCCCUCAACGACAACAACAACAACAGACCCAAUGUAUUCCCACAAAGUGGAUAAACAACCCUACACUUUAAAAUAUUUCAAGUUGGGUAUCUUUCCUUUCUAUUUCUCAUAUAAAAUUGAUUGUGUCUUGCUAUGGGGAAAUCUAUUGAGUAAAGGAUGUAGGUGCAUUAGUCAAUCCGAAAGAUAUCACCAGAAACUAAGAAUGGCCAUACUGAGUUAUAAAAGUUUUCUUCGGUAUAUCUUAUGAUAUAUUUUUCAAUUGAUUAUAACUCAAACUUAAAUCAAUUUUUAAAAGAACUGACUCACCCUGUAACUGAUCAAACAAGUCAUUUAUUCAAGGCAAGGGAUAUUUGUUUUUUAUGGUAACCUUAUUCAACAACCUAUAAUCAGUGCACAUCCUCAAACUACCAUUCGUCUUCUUGAAAAACAAGAUCGGAACAACCAAAGGUGAAAAACUUGGAUGAAUAAAACCUUUGUCAAGUAGCUCCAAUAGUUGAGUUUUAAGCUCCCUUAACUCCACUGGAUCCAUUCGAUAAGGUGGAAUAAAAAUAAAGUGAGUGUCAGGCUCUAAGUCAAUUCAGAUAUCGAUAUCCUUAUCUGAAGUCAUACCCGGUAGGUCUGAAAGAAACACAUACUGAAAUUUAGAUACUAUCAAAACUGACGCUAUAAAAGAGAACCCCAUGUCUACCUCUCAGAAUGAGAUAAAAAUAAUAAACACACCUUCCCCACUAGCCUCAUAGCCUGGACAUACGAUAUAAUCUUUACUAGUAUGGCUUUAUACACUCCCUCCCACUCUAGUUCCUUUAUCCCAAGCAUAGUUAGUCACUGUUUUAGCAUUACAAUUUAAAACAACAUGAUAUGGAGAUAACUAGGUCAUACACAAAGUUACAUCAAAGUCCAACAUAUUUAGAAUAACCAAGUCUACCCAAGUCUGAAAAUCCAUAAAUAAUACAGAAAAAAAUGAUAAACAUGGGUUACUAUCACAGACUUUCCCAUUGGAGUGGACACUUAAAUAUGAAAAUCAAGUAUUUAACAAACCAGAUUCAGAUCCACCAUAAACUGGGCCGAAAAAUAGAAUAAGUAGACCCCAAAUCAAAUAAAAUAGAAGUUAUUCAGUCAUAGACAUAAAUAGUACUUUUGACCACUACAUUAGAAGCCUCAGCAUUAUUCUUUCUCAGAAAUGCAUAAUAGUGAGCUCGAUCAUCAAUUAGAGCUAACUCUCUUUCUGGCUUUACUUUUUCCUUAAUACCACCAUUUACUCGACCACCUCGACCACCUGUCUAAUUUCCUAUCCUCUCUAUAGAUGACCCCUGUUGUUGCCUCCCCUUUUUCUACCUGCUUAGACUAUAGCUUGAGUCUGUUGCUGCAUCUGGGCAUUCAUCUGCCUCACAAGAUGCUCCUUAUUAAAGUGACCAUAUGCACCAUAAUAGUAAUAUCCCUACCAAAGAUAAGGACUACUGGUAGAAGAGAAAGAAUCCCCUUGGCUCCUAAUAACUUAUGACUGAAAAGAACCCUUAGUUGGAACCACAAUAGAAGCUGGCAAGGCUGGCUGAAUAGGACGGGAUGAAUAGGCCUGUUGACCAUGGCCUUUAGAGUAACACCCAUUGAAAUUCCUAAUAUUUUGAGAUUUUUUGGCUAACAUCUUAGCCUGACCCACUUGGGUAAUCCCCUCAAACUUCUUCACAUCAUUAGAAACUUCAUUGAACCAUUUUUCUACCGAAGUCAUAUAAAUAGGAGAUACCUAAAGGUCAUAAUUCAAACCUUUAACAUAGAAGUUAAUCCUCUCCUCCUCAGAAGUCAACAACAAUGUAGCAUAGUGAUACAAGGCAUGAAACUUGGCCUCAUAGGAUACAACUGAUAUGUCACCUUGCUGUAAUGCCUAAAACCCAUCCUUCUUGCGGUUAAGAAAGGACCGUGGCAUAUAUUUCUCUAAGAACAAAGUGUAGAAAUGCUUCCAAGUUAAUGGAGGAAAAAUUGAUGAGUGACAUUCAACAUACGCUCUACAGCAUUGUGUAGCAUCCUUUUCCAGCUGAAAAGUCACAAAUUAAACUCCAUGUUGCUUCACAACCCUCUUAUUAUGAAACCUCUCAUAGAAAUCAAUAAUAAACUCAAAAGCUUCUUCAGUCUCAGUACCCUAGAAUGUUGGAGGUUUCAUUUUUAGAAAUUUUGUCAACAGUUCAUGUUCUGUAGCAAUCAUCAUGGAACCCAACACCAAACAAGAAAAAUCAUCGGUCCCUAAAGCUUUAUCCAUUCUAGGAGCUAUGGAGACAGUUUUAUGAUCAAUUGAAGCCUGAUAAAAUGGUAUGGUGGGUGUGACUACAGUCCUAUCUGAUCUUAGGUGGUUUUAUGCAGCUAAAACUUGCUAUCCAACCUUAAUUAGCCUUAUUUUGAGGACUUCUAGUGUGAUUAAUAAGCAAAUACUUGUAUAAAUUAAGCAUCUAAGUUUCACACUACUUGAUUAUAAUAUUUAAGGUGUGUUUCAAACAAUUUUGGAAUUAAUUUGGUCACUUAGGGUUUAGAUGAGGAAACUAGUAGAGUUUAGAUGAGGAAACUAGUGUUACUAGCUUGAGCUAUGUGUUAUUCUAGUUGUUCUGGAUGAAUUCUAGUGUGUGAAAUGAGUUAAUAAGGGUAUAAUUAUGUAAUUAUGUAUGGAAUAACUUGUUUUUAGUGUUUAAGGUUCAAAUGAGACAAGCCAAGAGACAAAACACUAAGUUAAAGAUCAAAAGAACAAAACUAGUAAUCUUAGCUUAAGUUACUAUUUCAUUGUCUUGGAUUGUAUGUUAUUUUGAGCUCUAAUUCGUGGUGGUUGACUCUAUAGUAGGCUUGGUGAGUUAAUAAUUAUUAUAUCUGGAUGAUACAAAAGCUGUAAAUCAAGUAGAAACAACACCACAAGGAUUAGAAAGGAUGGACAAACAUAUUGGACAAGACUUCACCAAUAAUGGAUGUUUUGGAGUCAUUGGCAUGCCACCGACCUUAGGCAGUGUGUUAGGCCCAUUACACACACUUGGGAGCAUCCUAAAUGACCAAUUACAUUAUAUCAGCACUAUUAUGGCGUUCCAUUAACCUUAGAAACCGAGAUAAUGGCAAGUCACAUCCCUAAGUCAAAAUCAACAGCUUUGUCGAAGUAUCAAUAAUGCACUUAGUUGUUAUAUUUCACACCUUGGAAGACCUUGGGACUUGAAAGUAGGCUUGAGAAAACAUAAAUUAGGAUUUUUUUUCUUCCAUUAUUUUUGUUUGUCUAUGGAUUUUAACAUGUAUUCACUCUUUGUAAUUACGGUUAUGUCCAUGAUCGGCUAAACCCCCUUUUCCAGGGUUAAGGCCAAGAACAUGAGUAUUAUGGCUAUGAAUUGAUUUGGUUUCAUUUUUAUUAUAUUUGGUUAUUUGUUUAUCAUUUUUAUCACUAUUUAAGGAUGCACAAUCCUUAUAAUACAUGAUAAUUAUCUUGUGAAUCCGGGAGGAGAAACAAGAGGAUAGAACGUGAGAUAGAUAGAAUAGUUGUAAUCUUCUAAUUGAAUAGAGCUAUAAUUUGUAUUUAGGAUAGGAAUAUACCUAUGUGCUCUAUUUGUUUCAAGUACGGGAUGAUAUAUGAACAUAUUUGUCUUAGUUCUCACAUCUCGACUCAACGAUGUAGUUGUGGGGCUAAGUUAGAUAAUUGAUUAGAGGUUAGGAAGGCCAUGUCAUAGUAUAGACCCUGUGAACCAACAAACAAGAUGAAUAACCUAUCCAAUGAAUUUUUAUUACGUAGCAUGAUUGUUCAUAGUGCCUUAGCCCUAGUUUUUCUCCAUUGUUUUUCAAGAACCUUCAAUUUACCGCAUUGUUAAGUUUACUCUUAGUUUACUGUCAAACAAUCCUGUGGUUACGUUAGCACUUAGUUAAUCUUAGUAGUUGGACUAGUCUGGGAUAGUUGUUAACACAAGUCUCCGAGGGAUCGAUACUUAGCUUUUAAAGGCCAUUUUACUUCUUGGUAGAUCAUGUACACUUAUGUGUGCACUUAGGCACAAUAAGUUUUUGGCACCACUGCUGGGGACUUGUAAUUUAGCAACCGUCAUAGUUGUAGUUUCAUAUUUUUAUUUAUUUGGUGCUUUUCAUUUGAUCUUGGCUUAUAAAUUUGCAGGAAUAGGUAGUAGACUAGUAAGCUAGCCAGGGAUAGGGAGUUGGUUGAACCAGCCCCGAGCCCGAGCAAUGCUUACACCAAUGAAGGAGAGAAGUAGUACUUCUCUAUAGAAUCCCACAUAUUCAUGUGGAACAAGACAUUCCUGNNNNNNNNNNNNNNNNNNNNAAGAAUCCACUAGUUUUUAGGACAGUUUGCGAAGUGGUCAUCCCACUUCUACUAAUGUGACCUCCAUCAUUUGAAUAUCGACUCUUGGAGGUAAUUUGAAUUGAAGCAAAAUAUGGAAAUCAACUUCUGCAUAAUAAUGGACAGUUUACCAAGCUAUCACAUGCAUAUCCACAAGUCCACUUGCAAAACUUUGUGGAGAUUAGUCACACAUUAAUCCCUAAGAGUGUGUCAACUAAUUUUGUGAGGCUGACACUCUUCACUUUUUCACUUUUGGGGGAAGAAAAAAUACAGUUGAACGCUGAGUCGGCAGGUUCAAUUACCACUUGGGAUGACUUAGUCUAGAAGUUCCUCAUUUGCUUCUUCCCAUCUAGCAAGACUGUGAGACUACGUAGUGAUAUUUUGAUCUUUAAUUAUAUGAAAAAUAAGAACCUAUACCAUGCUUGGAAGUGAUUUAAGUCUCUUCUUUGGAACUGUCCACAUCAAUAACAGUCUAAUGAGGUACUAUCUCACACCUUUGUUGAGGCAUUUGACUAUAACACAAAAAAUAUUCCAGAUUUAGCUGCAGGUGGUCAAUCUUUAAAAAAGACAUAUGAGGAGCUAUACACCUUAUUGAACCAAAUUACCCAAGGAAAUAUGAAUUGGCAUGGUAAUACCUCAAGGACGUCAGUAAAAAAGGUUGCAGGCAUGAUUGAAGGUUAUAUCAUCACCGCCUUGGCCGCCCAACUUUCAACUAUCCAAAAUCAGAUAAUAACUCAAUUUAGCAAGUUGGGUGUGCAACAGAAACAGGCAUAGGUUAAUGUAGUGCAACAAACCCCAUCAUGAUGUGAGACUUAUGGCACCAGUGGCCACUCUGCAGAUAAGUGUAGUGCCAAUCCUGAAUCCAUAAACUUUGUAGACAAUACACAAAAGCCGAAUUAUAUUAACGCCUACAAUCAAAAAUGGCAGAAUCAGUCAAUGUAUCCUUGGGGAAAUAACCAGCAGUAUUAGUUCUAGUAGAAGCAGCAUAAUACAUAGGUCAGUAACAUAGAUGAGACUUUACAAAAAAUUGGCAAACCAAGAACAAAUUGCUAGUGAAAUAAAAAAAAUCAAUAAGUAGCUCAAAAGCAGUUGGAGCAACAGCUGGGGAAAUUGCAGUAGGCAUAGAAUACCAAGCCUUAAGUUAGUUAGCCAAGUGAUAAUGAACCUGUUAAAGAAGUAAUAACAAUUACUUCGAGGAGUGGUAAAGAGCUGAAUGAUAGGCCUCCAAAGAUAAAUAAGGAGGUAGAUAUAUAGUUGGUUUCUCAACUAGUUGCAGACAGAGUUGCUGAAAAUUUGGAAAAGUUUGAGUACCCAAAGACAAAAGUUGUUAAAAAGGAAAGACCACUAAUCAUUCCCACAGUAGUUCCAGAAAUCAAAGAAGGAUGAAUGCUUCAAGAAAUUCUUUGACACGUUCAGAAAACUUCACAUUAACCUUCCUCUUUUAGAUAUUUUACAGGGAAUGCCUAAGUACUCUAAGUACUUGAAGGAUGUGGUGACUAAUAAGGUAAAGCUGAGAAUGUAGCAACAGUUGCAUUGACAAAGGAGUGCAGCUUUGUGGUUGUGAAAAAGAUGCCCAAAGUGAUUGGUGACGGUAAAGUACUCCAUACCUUGAGUGAUUUAUAGGCUAGUAUAAAUUUGAUGCCUCUAUCCAUAUUCAUAAAUCUUGGUUUGGGAGAGCCAAGAGCAUGGUCGUUGAGGCUGCAAUUGAUGGACAAGACCAUAGUUAAACCCGAUGAAAUAAUUGAGGGCGUAGUCGUAAAGGUUGGUAAGUUUGAAAUUCCUACUGAUUUUAUUGAUUUAGAUUAUGAUGCAUAUUACAGGGUACCGAUCAUUUUGGGAAAUCUAUUCUUCGCCACAAGAGGAGCGUUGGUAGACAUGAAAGGGGGCACUCUCAUAAUGAGAUUAAAUGACGAAGAAGUGGUUUUCAGAGUUUAUAAGCCACUUAAUCCAACUUUAUACUAAAAAGAUUUAUAUAUGAUUACAGUAAUGGAAGUGGAUAAGUGUGAGGUGGCAGAAAGUACACCAACAAAGAUCUCUUUGGACAGUCUUAUUGAGUUACCCGAGCCACCACCUAAUCCCAAAGUGAUGAUGAUUAAUGCUCCUAAAAAGUAUAAAAUUUAAAAAGUGAUGAUGAUUAAUGCUCCUAAAAAGUAUAAAAUUUAAAAAGUGAUGAUGAUUAAUGCUCCUAAAAAGUAUAAAAUUUAAAAAGUGAUGAUGAUUAAUGCUCCUAAAAAGUAUAAAAUUUAAAAAGUUGUUGACCUUGAGAGUGCACACUCAAGAGGUAAGAAACAAGUAAGAGAUGGCCUUCAAAUAGGAGAAAGGGGAUGGAGAGAUUCGGUUGAGUAGUGAUGUUGGGUCAUGUCGCGACACUAGAUCAGGCGCUUCUUGGGAGGCAACCCAAGUUAAGAUAGAUUUUUUUUUUAGUAUUUUAGUUUUCACUUCAUGUAGUUUUUGUUUUUGUUGAGUCACAGGUCGAUGGAAAGUCUGAGUACCGGAGACUAGAGUUAAGAAGCAUGGCAAAGACUGAGUAUGGGUCCCCGGACUCUUUUGAUGUUUAAAUAUGCUACUAGCUAGGCCUAGAGGCCUCAGGGAAUAUUUCUACCUCCGCAUUUAAAUUCAACUUUGAGGAGAAAGUAGAUUUUUAAGUGUGGGAUAGUGAAAUUCCCAUGGUUUCUAGUGAAGUAUGCUAUAGGGUUUUAGUCUUAAUUGUUUUCCUAGUUUUUUCCUAAAUUUGAAAAAUUACAAAAAUAUUUUUCUUUUUUUAGUUUUUAGUUAUUGGGUUUCAAUUGAGUAGGCGCACACUUCACUCACCCCAUAGUUGUUCUUUUCCAUGGGGGUGCUCUUUGAACUCUGUAUUUUUUAAAAAAAUUGUGAUUAGGUAAGUGAGAUGUUCUAGUUGGUGCUAUGUAUGAUCGCAUAAUACAAGAGGUUUUGUGUGUAAAACCAUUUUGUUUGUGUGAAUUACUAGUUUUGAGUCCCCUAGACUCUAAUUUAUGACUCUUGUAUAUUGUUGGCUUAAUUUCGAAUUCAUGUGGUUGAAUGAUUAAGAGUCUAUGAUGAUCCUACUUGAGUUGACCAUGUUCCAUGUGUGGUGUAAGAUUUUUUGUGUAUUUCUUAUUGAAUUUGAUGUCUAGAACUUACGGAUGUGUGUGCAAAGAAAUAAAGAGUGUGGUUUUAGGAGAUGAUAUAUGCAUUUCUUUAAUAGCAAUGUUUCAUACCCUCUUUUAUCUACCCUUGUGCAUAAUCCUAGUCUGCCCCGUUGACUCUUUAGGUUAUCCUUUGGUAGCCUUAUAUGUAUCAUGUUACUCUUCUUUGUUUGACCUAAACUGAUCCAAAUCUCUUAAGCUCUUUAGUUGAAAAUUAAUAAAGUGAAGGAGUGUUAAAACAAGAAGAAAAGAGGUGAAAAUGAGUCCCCAAAAAGUAGCUAUUGGUGUUGCAAAAUUAAUAUGUGUUGUGAGUGGGAGUUGUGCGAUGAAAAAAAGAAAUAUUGUGCUAAAAUUUGAUCUUGAAUUGAUGAAGAAUACUCCCUCAACAUUAUAACUGACUGGCUUAAUGAGAUGGGGCAAAAUAAAAGAGAAUGGGUAUGAUAGAAGUGGGAAAAAAUUGGUUGUUAAGAGAUUGAUCUUAAUGUUCAUGUGAUGUACUAAAGAGCUUAGGGAAUUUAGUCACUACAUUUAGUCAAAUAGUUCCUACUUGUCCCUUAACCUGCAUUACAACUUAUAAAGACCUAUUUGAUCUGGAGCCUUAACAUUCUGAUAUUAGUGGAGUACUACACUAAGGCAAGUCUAUGAUUCAUCAUGUGUAACUUGUGAAUUCUUUGUGAGAGUGAGCAUAAUUUGAUUGUUGUACUCAUUUUGUGAUAAAUUGCAUCUAUAUGAGUGUUAUGGGUAACUCUCUUGUUGUGAGGGCAUAUUUCUAAUGAUAGUUGGGUGAUUUGUAUGAUCUCAUUGACUGAGUAAUAUGCAUGAGUUUUCUAACUUGGUAAGUCAAUUCUUGAGGUUAGGAUGUUUUGAAGUAGUGUAUGAUCACAUUUCUAAUGAUAGUUGGAUGUUUUGAAGUAGUGUUCUUAUGUAUAACAUGCUUAAGGUAAAAACUUGUUAUCUGUGUAGUCAUUAUAGUACUAUCUUGAAUGUAUUGUUGGUAAUAGAAGUGUGGAGUCUUCUCUAAUUAUGAUGUUUAUAGUAAAGAGUUGUUCGAGAACGAACGAGGCUUUAAGUGUGGGGUAAUAGACAACCCACUUAGAAAAGCUAACACUUGUUGAAUAACCUGAGCGGACAAUGGGGUAGUCCUGCAACCCAAACUUGAGCCGCUACCUUGAGUUUCACACCUCAUUCCUCUACUACUUCCAUCUCCUCCAAAUGCUCCUGGGGUGGGGGAGGUGAUGCUGACCUCUCAAGAUGUUGACCAGUCGGUGCUUGAGCUCCAAACCUGGUGAGUGUGGCCUGUCUUCUCCUUCCCCUACCUCUUUCUCUCACUCGUCUUUUUCCCCCCUCAACUGGCUUUACAGCUGGAGAAGCCAUUGAGAGAGUUGCUAGUCAGUUUUAUUGGACCUAAUAUUCACCAUCUACAGACAAAAGAGUGAAAAAGAUUAGAUACCAAUUUGGAUCGCUAGAUACCAAUUGGAAUCAAGUUAUAGCAUGAAAGAAAUAAUAAUGACAAAUUUUCUAAAGUCUUAGAGUCUCUCGAAGAAAAGUAUAGAUGUCUUCGUACCAUUUCACAAGACUCUUCUUAACUCGUUUUGGUAUGAUAAGAUUGAUGAACCUAGGUAAUCUGAUACCAAAUUUGUCACAAUCCAAACUCAUUGUAAGUGACAUCCUUACUAUUCAUCCCGAACGAUAAUCCUAUAAUCUACACUUAGAAGAAAUAAGUAAAGAGCCAACCACUGGAAUCACAAGUGAGGUCUCGUAGGAUCUGCUAGAAUGUGCCAUGCACUCACAAAAGUAAAUCCAGAUGUAGUAUCAACACACAAGAAUAACAAUGUAUUGGUUGGACCAUUUGGUCAACCCAAGAUGAGAAUAUGAACAUAUAACUAAGUUAUAGUACAAUAAGUUAAUCCAUACUUAAUAAACAUCAACAAGUUAAUCCAUUCUUAAUAAACAUAUAGCAUAACAAGCAAUAAGUGUCUGCCAGUUAUACUAAGUUAUAUUGAAUAACUAGGAGUCAAACUAGUAAGUCAACAUAUUAUCACCAAGUCAAGUCUAGUCAAUCCAAGCCAAAAACAAGUCAGGACAAUUUAUUAGAUAUAAGAAUAUAUUUUUUGAUUCACACAUGAAACCAUCAAAUUCACUUGACCUUCGUGCAUACACGCUAAAGGAUAUACAACCAUCCUCUAGCCAUGACCUACAGGGGACAAUUACCGUCCAUGUACUAAAACCCCAGACACAAGUAUCUGCCAACCUUGUUCCACCAAAAGCCUGUGAGAACAUUCUAAAUACCAAACAGUCCACAUAUAGCAAGUAAGGCAGGUCAAAAUCAUAUAACAACCGCAAAUCAUUUGCAAAGACCACACCAAAUAACAUACACUAACAAGUCAUACUAUAAAGUAAUUAAUAUGCACAUGUAGCACAAAUUGGAUUAAACUACUAUAUCAUCACCUACCUGGAAGCAAGCUUGCAAAACUUCUCUAUGUCGGAGGUUUGCCUUUUCGUGCAAUUUUCGCUUGUUCGUGAUCUAGAACAUGCAUAUAAAUACAUAAUUAAAGAAAUGACCUAACAUGUCGGGAUUUGUAACUCACACCCAACUCCUAAUGUCAAAUUCAUGAUCAUUUUCUUUCCGUUUUAGGAUUUUUUUCACCGUAAUUCACCUAAAACUAUCGAUUUCAUGGAUAUUAGUGAAUUAACAGAAUCCAAAGAUAAAUUAAAUGCUAGUAGUCAAAACCUAUUAACUUAUUCCUUAAUUUUCUCUCCUACACCAGCAAUUAAUCAAAAUCUUUUCUAAAACCCUUUUUGAACUCCAUGAAUUAACAGUUGUAAGGCUUAAUAAUUAAAUACGUGUUAAUAGAAUGAAUUCCUUACUUUGACGGGGCCAAACAAAAAAAUUUUGGUGUGUUUCGCCCUAAAUCGCCCUUCUGUUGCAUCAAAAUGAGUAUUAGAAAAAUAAAUUAUUUUGGAGAAAAUUUUAAUAAAUCUGCGGUUUUCACCGCUACAGCAUUCAAGACCGCUAUAGUGGUGCCUCUAUAGUGGUACUGACCACUGUAGCAGUCGUUGACCAUCUUUGACCACCACUAUAGCAGGAAUUCCUCCGCUAUGGCACUUGCCGCUUCAGCAAUGCGCCGAUCGUUAUAGCGGAGUCGACGGGACAAAAUAUCCAUCUUCACCCAAAAAUCUCAUUUUUUACAUUGUACCUUAAAUCUCGGACAUUCCUAAUAGUGGCCCUUUACGCUAAAAUCAAUUUCGGAAGUUUUACUUACCCAAAUUUAAUUCCGUCAAUUUCUACGAAUUUUUUAUCAUCUUAACUAAAUAGAAAUCAAGACAAAUACUACUACCCCCAUCAAAAUCAUUCCCAUAUUUUCCGAUGCCUCACCUUGCUCUGAAAUCGGUCAAACUAAACUAUCCUAAAAUUUGUAACUUUCAAACCUAAAAGAAUUUGGACUAUGUAACAACGGAGAGGGUCCUUACACUACGCCAUUAAAUUGCGUCCGGUGUGUGUUUCAUAUGCUCCAUCCCAAUAUCACCCUGAGACUAUCGCCCUGAAAACGUCUUUUGAAAAUAUUGUUUUUGACUCUUUCUUCAAUUUUAAAAAUAGAUUUAAUUUUUGGAUCAUUUUCUUUUAAUUUGCUUUUGAAUUUAUUCACAUAUGGUUGUCGAAUAAAUUUUCUAAAAGUGAACUAAAUUCUCUAGAAUUUGAUUUCUAUUUUAAACACGGCAAUUUUUGAUGUGUCUCUGGUAGGUCAUAAUCCAAAAUCAGCCACAUCUAUUUAUAUAUACUAGAGCAUGGUCCAACAUGGUAAGCAUCAAUUUUUGAAAUUAUUAUAAAAAUAGUAAAAUAAAUUAUUAUUAUUAAAUAAUUAAAAUUUUUAAUUAUUUUAAUUUAUAAUAUUUUUUCUUCUAUUCUUUUUUAAGUGACACCGAUAUAAUUUUGAGAGUUAAGCAAAUAUCACGAUUGAAGUAGCGAAGCAAACAUGUCUUAAAUGACUUAUAAUAACUAAUUAGAAGUGAUAUAGCAAAAUUGCUAGAAAAAAUACUUGUAAAAAUAAUUUAAGAGAGUCUCAUAUAAGAUGUCAAGUUAAUUUAAAAUAUAAAUAGUUAAUUGAUCAUUUCAUGUCUAUUUUACUUUUUUUUUUAAUGAAAUUUAAUAACUUUUUAAUAUUUAAAUGAUUUAUAAUUAGAGGUGAUGUAGUAAAUUAUGGUUGAAGCAGUCGAAGCAGACAUGCCAUAAAUGUCUAUUUUACUUAUUUAUUUUAUUAAUUAUUAUUAAUUUUCUAAUACGUAAAUGACAUAUAAUAAUUAAGGGUGAUAUAGUAAAAUUACGGAGCAAACAGUGGUCGACAAGCAUGUCGAUCACCGAAAAGAAAAAGUUGUUAAAAAAAUAAAAUUUAAUUUCCCUGUUUAUGUAUUUUAUGCUUCAUUUAGUUGUACCUAAUAAAAAUUGAUAUUUUAAUCACUCAGAUCUUACAUCGUAACUAUGUAUUUACCUUUUUUGUUUGAAUCUAAUUAUUUAGAUCUCAAUAGGUGUACUACUUUCAUACCUUUUUUUGACACAGAUAUUACUAUUGCAAAGUACUUUAUCUGAUCAUUUUUAAUUUUUAUUUUUUUUAUCUAUUUUAUCCUUAUUAUAUUAUUUAUAAUCUAAUACUUAAAUGACUUAUAAUGACUAUUUAGAAGUGAUAUAAUAAAAUUACUAUAAAAGUUACUUGUGAAUUUUUUUUAGGUGAACCCUGUAUAAAUCGUCAAGUUAAUUUAAAACAUAAAUGGUUAACUAAUUAGAAGCGAUAUAAUAAAAUUACUAUAAAAAGUAUUUGUGGAAAAAAAUUUAAGUGGACUCUAUAUAAGUCGUCCAGUUAAUUUAAAACAUCAAGUGUUAACUUAUAAUUUUGUAUCUAUUUUAUCUUUCCUGUAAAAAAAUAUUAUCAAUUUUCUAAUGCUUAGAGGAUCUAUAAUAAUUAAUUAGGUGUGAUAUAGUAAAAUCACGAUUGAAGUAGUUGAAGCAGGCAUGUCAUAAAUGUCUAUUGUGUGUUUAAAUUAUAUAUUAUUAAUUUUCUAAUACGUAAAUUACUUAUAACAAUUAAUUAGGAAUGAUAUAGUAAAAUCACGGUUGAAGCAGCUGAAACAAGCAUGUCAUAAAUAUUUAUUUUACUUUUUUUAUUAUAUAUUAUUAAUUUUCUAAUACAUAUAACUUAUAUAACUAAUUAGGGAUGAUAUAGUAAAAUCAUGAUUGAAGCAGCUGAAGCAGACAUGUCAUAAAUAUCUAUUUUACUUUUUUAAUUAAAUAAUAUUAAUUUUUUAAUACGUAAAUGACUUAUAAUCAUUAAUUAUCUAAUAUUUAAAUGACUUAUAAUAAUUAUCUAGAAAUAAUAUAAUAAAAUUAUUAUAAAAGUUACUUGUGAAUUUUUUUUAAAGUGGACCCCGUAUAAGUCGUCAAGUUAAUUUAAAACAUCAACGGCUAACUAUUUAAAGCGAUAUAAUGAAAUUACUAUAAAAAGUACUUAUGGAAAAUGUUUUAAGUGAAAUUCAUAUAAGUCGUUAAAUUAAUUUAAAACAUCAAGAGUUAACUUAGAAUUUUGUGUCUAUUUUCCCUUUUUUUAUAACAUAUUAUCAAUUUUUUAAUGCUUAGAUGAUCUAUAAUAAUUCAUUAGGGUGAUAUAAUAAAAUCACGAUUGAAGCAAUUGAAGAAGACAUGUCAUGAAUGUUUAUUAUAUUUUUUAAUUUAAUAUUAUUAAUUUUUAAUACGUAAAUGACUUAUAAUAAUUAAUUAAAAAUGAUAUAGUAAAAAUCAUGGUUCAAGAAGUUGAAACAGGAAUAUCAUAAAUAUCUAUUUACUUUUUUUAAUUAUGUAUUAUUAAUUUUACAAUACGUAAAUAACUUAUAAUAAUUAAUUAAAGAUUAUAUAGUAAGAUCACGGUUGAAACAGCUGAAGCAGACACGUCAUAAAAAUCUACUUUAUUUUUAAUUAAAUAUUAUUAAUUUUCUAUUACGAAUGACUUAUAAUAAUUAAUUAAGGAUGAUAUAGUAAAAUCACUGUUGAAGCUGCUGAAGCAGACAUGUCGUCCAUAAGCUGCAUGCUUUAGCAGCUUAUCCUUACUUAUAUAUAUACUAGAUACCCGUGUCAGUGCAAGGCGCGGAUAUUUUUGACAACACUAAUGUGCAAAAGAGAUUCAACUUUGGGGAAGAUUAUUUCCUAUUUUUUUUAAUUGUUUGGUAUAAGAGUAAAAGAAAAGAAAUGUAAUACAAUGAACCAAUGUUAACAUAAUAUAUACAUUCAGUGUAGUCAUUUAAUAAGGAACAAAAAAAGAUAUUUAUAAAAAAAAAUACUAUUAUAUAUAAUUCAAUUACAAAGGUCUAAAUAAAAAUAUUAUUAAAAUAAUACCUGAGAAAAAAAACUAAUAAAUAUAAGGAAAAAAUAAUAUGCAUGUGUAACCAUUUUAUUGCACCAUAAAAAUGAGGAUAAAAUUAAUAAAUAUAAGAAAGAAAUCAUAUGCAUGCGUAACCAUUUUAUUUACUACUAUACAUAAGUGAAGGUUGAUGUGACUAAAAUUACCCAAAUACCCUUGGUAGUCACCUCAACCUUCACUUAUAUAUAGUACAUAUGCCUAGAGCGUACUGAGACGUUCAUUUACAGAUUCACUAAAUUCAAUAACUUUUAUCUCAACUCUAGAUAUAUGUAUACAUAUUAUGAAAUUAUUGGUAAAUAUUUAUAAAUGUUUGAUCAUGAACUCAGUUAUUAUUAUAGUAUUAACUUAAAGUUGAUAUAGAAACCUAUAAAUUGUUACUAAUGAAUCUGUCUGAUUACAUUUUGGAGACGGAGACAAAAACGGGCCAAUCAUGUUAUGUAUGAAAUGACUCUUGAUCAGAGGUAACAUUUCAUGGCUUCAUAUAUGUUGAUAAGCCAAUAUUAUUCUAUAUAUGUUGUGUAUUUCUUAGCCAAACGUUAUAAUUAACAUGGCUUCGGUGAUUGAGCUAUGUCAAGUUGCACUUUGAUCAAAUGUGGUUACAAUUCUACUGUGUACGGCGAUUACUGUUCUUACAUUAAAAAUUCAAGUGCUUCCAAGCUUCAGUUACUACAAAGUAUUUUUUUUUUUUGGAGUUUCUUCCAACAAUUUAAAAAUACUUUUCAUGAUAAACCUUUGCAGACUUAAAAUAGUCAAGUAAAAGAACAUCUUUUGUUGCCAUCUUUUGAAAUUAACAUCAGAAUUUUUUUUACAAUUUUUUUGCCAGUGCCAUGAUAGGAGCAACAUUCGAAUGACUUGAAGUAGCAAUGUUAGUUGCUGCAACAUUCGUCGUUUCAUCAUUGACAUAGUUUCAAGUAGUCAUUUUACUGUCACAAUUAGACAACCAAUUAGUAUCACAAAUACUAACAAUAAAAUAUUAAACUUUCAAACACUUGUUUCUGGUUUGACGAUGAAGUUUUUAUAUUCUUCAAAUCGUCAACCGAAUGAAUCUUUGACUCAUGAUGAAGUCUUUACAUCUUCCAAUCAUGAUGAAAUUCAAAUAGAGUAGAAAAUCAAAAGGCAUUAAUCUUUGGAAAGCAAAUAUAGAUAUAAGUACCAUAAUUUCCUAAAGAUUGUUGUUUUUCGGGUACACUAAACAAAAUUUGUAUUUUCAACAAGAACUUCAAUCACAAGUUCAAACAACUUAUGAACAACCAUAAAGAGUUCAAACUAUUUUCUAGGAAAUAGCAAAACCAAAUGUUUAGAAAGAGAUGAAGAUAGCAAGAUUUAAGUCCACCAAAUUUACGGUGUGUCUUCAAGAAAAUUAUUCUCCUCAAAUAUCCGAGAUUAUGAAAUAAAUCCUCCCAGAAUAAGAUGAAUCACAUUAAUAGUGGUACCUCAAAUUCUGUCAAACCACGAACGUACUCAACGAUUUGCAAAUCACACUUAAAUUUUUAGGAAUAAAAAGAGUUAUGACUUCAAAAUUUUGUAUCAAUAGUUAAGAAAAAUCAAAUACUUAUAGUCAAAAGAUGUUCAUUCUGAAAAUUAAAGAAACAAUUAUUUGUGAAAAGUUGUAAUUUUUUGAAAUAUCGAGACAACAUGUGAAUCCCACAUACGGUUGUACAGCACGACAUGCGUCCGCAUGUCAUUCAUUGCACAAAGCAGUGUGUUUUAGAUGACUUCUGUUGACAAAUGCACUAUCAUCUGCAUCCACUGAUGGCUAAGUGCGCUCACAAGUCCCAUUUUCAUUUUCAAAUAGUGCCUCGAAGGGUUGCGUCCCUUCGAAGUACAUUAUGACUGCACAUGCUUGUGUGUGUUCACAAAUAGAGAAAAAUUUUGUAUCAAAUUUUUGAACUAAGAAAUCAUUAACUCUCAAAUUUCAAAUAAAUUUUGUCUAGAAAGAUAAUUUUUCGAUCAUUUGAAAAAUCUAAAUUCAAAGCCAAAGCCUUCAUCUCAUCAAGCCGAGUGAGCGGCAACAACAGUGUAAGGCUUGUCUCCUUCUUGCCUCACUAACUACAUGAAAAAAUGCUUCUAUAUUUAAGCAUAAAAUAGGUUCUUUCUCCCACCAAUGUGGGAGAACACUUCUUCUAUAAAGUGAAUACACAUUUUCACUUUCCAUUCAUUUUUCUUUCCUCAAAUUUUCAUUCAUUUUCAUCACUAACCUAACAAGCUAUUAUUAUAAUCCUUUCAUUCAAAAUAUUUGGUAGCACGUUUACUAAAAAUACUUGUUUUAAAAUAACUAUCAAUUUAAAGAUCAAGAGAUCAUUAAUUAUUCUUUUUCAACUUAGCCUUAGCAUUAAUUAAGGGUAGCAUUAAUGUAUUUCAUAGUCUUGUGCAAUGAAUAACUUCUUUUUUGAAUCUUUUUUUUUUAUUUCUGUUUUCUAAAGGUAAUGAUCAAAAAACACCUAAUAUAUCCUAGUUCUUUGAGUUUCAUAUGUAAACUAUUCAAAAUGUGAGUUUCCUACCUCAACAUUACUCAAUGGUUAGCGAAACGUACCUAGAGGCUCACUAGAUCAAAUAUUAGUUUACAAACUUUUCUACGCAUGUUUGGCCAUAAAAUAUUCGUCCACCAAUCACAUAUAACGACUCUAUAAGUUGUCACAUUAUUUUUAUUUUAAAAUUGAUUUCUUCAAAACCAUAAACUCUCCCCUACCAAGUGGCUAAAACGAGACCACUACUGAGAAGUUGGAAAAGAAGACGUUGAAUGCCACAAUGGAUGAAUAUAAUUAAUUUGUAUGGUUAUAAUUUUAACCUUAAUUAGUUACAGUAAAUUUUAACUUGAUAUUAGUUUAUUUAAUUUUGCCACAAUGAAAUUAUUUUUUCAUGUUUCCACCCUAAACUAUACUCGAAAAGUUUAGGUCACACCUAAACUAUCAUAGUGAUCUAUUACACACCUAAAUUAUAUAAAAGUGAAUUUUUUUACCCCCUAAAUCUGAUGUGGAAAAUACAUAAUUAUUUAAAUAAAAAAAGGUGCGUCUAAAUUACAAAUUAAUGCAAAAAUAAAUAAGUUAAAAUACUCCUCCCCCCAGCCCCCAGCAUCCAUCUCCCCUCCCUCACCUCCAAACCAUCAUCUUCUUCAUCACCCCCACCCCUAAACUCCAACCCCACGCCAACCAACGUAUCUUCUUCAUCACCCCCACCCCCAAACUCCAACCCCACCACCAGAUAACAAAAUUUCUUCACAUCCUACCAUCUAUCCCCACCAAAUCGAUGCUAAUUUCACCUACCGCCGUCAAUGAAGUAAUCCAAUUACCUAAAACUAUGCAGUCAAUCUAGAAAUGAAGUAAUCCAAUCACCAAAUAAAUGUUGCCAUAGUAAUCGGGAAAAGAAAAAUUGCAAAAUAUUACUCCCGUUGAAAACUACGAACAAAAAACUUAAAAAAAAGGAACAGAUAACAACUAUUUAUUCUAAGAAGGUUCUUUCCAGGUCUAAAAGUUCUAACUUUACGGGCACUGAUAAUUUUGUCGAUCUCUAGCCAAUGUCGAGUGUUUAGUGACUUCUAAUUGUAAUUAGAUUGCUAAAAUUAGUGUGUACCCGAUGGAAGACAAUAAUAUCUAUUUUUGAUGUAUCUUCUCAACCCUUCAAUUAGAUGCAUAGGUGUUAAUGUUAUGGAAAAAAACAAUGGAAGUUUUGGCUGCAUAGUUAUGAUAAUUUUGUUGGUGGGAUAAACCUCCGUUGACCUCAUAACAAAAUCAAAUAAAGCUCUUCAUUUCUAAACUGGCUGCAUAAUUAUGGUUAUUUUGUUGGUGGAAUUAAGUUUAUGGUGGUGAAUAUGGUGUUCAUGACCUCAUAACAAUGGAGGUUUUGAACAUGAGAUAAUACAUUGAAACACCCCUAAAUUUGUAGCCAAAACUUACUUUAGACCCUAAACUUGUAUGACAAUUAUUUACCCUCCUUAAUAACUUUAAAGUGAAUUUUGUACCACCCUAAAAAAAUUAUACCACUCUCACUAUGGAGAGUGAAGUACACACGCCCCACGUCAUUGCCAACUCAGUGCCAUGUCACUGCCACUUAAGAAAUUAUAUAUAUAUUUUUAAAAAGUAAUCCAACACACAUAUUAUUUUUAUAUAUUUUAAAUAUAUAUAUAUAAACCUACCCCACCCCCGUCCUCCUCCUCCUUCUUCUUCAAUAGCCAACCCCACCCCACCCCCGUCGUUCCUCCUUCUCCUUAUGCUUCAAGAGCCCCCUACCCCUACCCCUUAUUUUCUCCUUCUCCUUAUGCUUCUACAGCCCCCGCCACCAUUAACAUCAAUAACUUUCACUCAAUUAAUAAUGACUCACCGAAAAAUAUCCACCUCCAUCGUGAACCACCCUACAAAUUCCCCCAAAUGAAUCACUAAUGAAAACUCCACAUGAUAGAGAGAUUUAUGAACUUGGAAGGAAGAUUUGGGAUAGAGAUGCUAUUAAAGAAAAGAAAAAAUCACACAUAGAUGAUGUGAAUUUGGAUGAGUUUUCAUUAUUAGUGAAUGAAAUGAAAGUGUAUUUUUCAAAUUAUGAAGAAAGGUUAAAGAGAUUGGGAAAGAAGAAAUUGAAAGAAAUGAAUGAGAAAUGGAUGGAGUUGAAAUUGGAAGAAUCUGAACUUAUGGUAAAUAAAAGUCAAUUGUUUCAUGAAAAUUUGAAAUUUGUUGUUGAAGGUUCAAUAGGUGUGAGAAAGAAGAAGAUAUAGGAGUGGUGGGGUGUGAGAAAGAAGAAGAAAUGAGGGUGGUGGGGUGUGGGGAAGGAGGAGAAAAAAAUAAUGGUUAAAAAUAUUAAAGUGGGCCCCACUAAAAAUUUUUUAUACUUUUUUUUUACUAAAAUGCGCUUUUAUUUUAUUUUUUGCCACGUCAGCCGUUAAGGGGACAAAAUAAUACACUUUAAAAUCGUUAAGGGAGGUAAAUAAUUGUCAUAAAAGUUUAGGGUCUAAAGUAAGUUUUGGCUACAAGUUUAGGGGUGUUUCGGUGUAUUAUCUCUUUGAACAUUGACCUCAUAACAAUGGAGGUUUUGGACAUUAAAGAAGAAAAUAAAUUAAAAAGAAAUUUUUUUUAUGAAAAUAAUAAAUUUAUUAUUUUUUUCGUAUUAUGCUGACAUGACGUUGACGUAGCAGGCGCGUGUGAAACACCGCACCACAUACAAGUGGUAUAAUGCUUUACAGGAUGUAAAAAAUAUCAUUUUUAUAUAGUUUAGGUGUUUAAUAGGUCACUAUGAUAGGUUUAAGUGUGACUUUGACUUUUCGAAUAUAGUUUAGAGUGAAAACAAUGACUUUUCCCCAGAUUUUAAAUAAAGGCCAGAGUGCAGUACACAUAUCAUUAGAUAAAAAGCGACAUGUAUUUCGCUAAGCAUUGGGUCAUAGUUCAUUUUGGAAACUCCCCUCCUAAUAUGUCAAGUAUAAAACUCAAAAAUAUGAGAUAGUUUAUAUGUGUUUUUAAUCAGUGUUUUAAAAGAAAGGAGCGCGAAGAGAGACAUUUUACGUUGUAGGGGGUGAGGCCUAAGCCCUGAGGCAUAGUAAAUAUGAAAUGUAUAUCCCAGGCAUCUUCAGUUUUAUAAUUUUAUACUAAAAAAAUAAGCAAAUAUAGAUUUUCAAUAAUGCUGUAACUAAAGUUAAAUAUUUCACCGACAAUUAGAAAAAAAAUCUUAUAAUUAUUAUUUGAAAAAGGUAUCAACACAAAAAUAAUAACAAUCAAGAUAAUCUUUAAAAUGAGAUAUCAAUAUAUAUUCAUCUCUAUAUUACUGUACUAGUCCUUUCCCAUCCUCAACUAAUAUUGCACUGAUGAUUGUUGUUUAUAUAUUUCAAAGAUGGAAAAUAAUAUAAAUGUAAAAGUAAUAACAAAAAUGGAUACAGUUUCUCCGUAAACAUAGUGCUCUGAACUAUAUAUGUAUCCUUUUCAAUUUUAGACAUGAUUAUAAAAAAUUAUAUAUGAUAGCGUCAUUUUAUAUGAGUAACUUUUUUUAUUUAUAUAUUUUAAAAAAGAUCACUACAACUUGAAAAAAGGAUAGCAUAAAAUGUAAAUAUCAUUAUACCAAUUAUGAAAAACAUAAUUUAUAGAAAAAAUACUUUUAAAAUAGUAAAAAGUAAACUAACUCCCGGGACAUACAUUCUUACGCCCGGAAAUUAGAACUUUAUGUUCGGGACUUAUGCGUUGAAUUCAAUUGUGUACGUCUUUAAAUUGCGUCCGGUGUGUGUUUCAUAUGCUCCACCCAAGAUCGCCUUGAGACUCGUCUUGAAAAUGCCUUUUGAAAAUAUUGAUUUUGACUCUUAAAUCAAUUUUCAAAAUAGAUCUAUUUAGACUAAAUUUUCUAAAGAUCUCUAAAAUUCUCUAGAAUUUGAUUUCUAAUUCAAACAUGUGUAGUUUUUGAUGUGUCUUUGGUAGGCCAUAAUCCAAAAUCAGUCACACAUGCCUUUGAAUAAUGCAUCGAGACAACAGUUCAAAUUAGGACAAAAGGCGCCAGUUACAACCACACACAUUUACUGCCACAUAUGCCUAGGGCGUACUGAGAAGUCCACUUAUGGAUUUACAUGACUUCAAUAACGUUUAUCUGAACUCUAGAAAUAUGUAUACGUGUAAUGAAAUUAUUGAUAUAUAUAAUUAUAGUAUUAACUUAAAGUUGAUAUAGAAACCUAUAAAUUGUAACUCAUGAAUCUAUCUGUCUGAUUACAUUUUGGAGACGGAGACAAAAACGGGCCAAUCAUGUUAUGUAUGAAAUGACUCUUGAUCAGAGGUAACAGUUUAAUGGCUCCAUAUAUAUGUUGAUAAGCCAAUAUUAUUCUAUAUAUGUUGUGUAUUUCUUAACCAAACGUUUUAAUUAACAUGGCUUCUGUGAUUGAGCAAUGUCAAGUUGCACCACCUCCUGGUGGUGUUGAUGAGCUGACACUCCCACUCACCUAUUUUGAUCAUAUGUGGUUAGACUUCCACCGUGUACGGCAGAUACUAUUCUACAAGCUCCCUAUAACCAAACCCAAUUUCAUCGAAAACAUUAUUCCUCCUCUUAAAGAUUCACUCUCCCUUGCUGUCAAACACUAUAUACCCUUAGCUGGCAAUGUUGCUUGUCCAAUAAAUUCAAACGGAUAUCCUGAGUUACGUUAUGUGACAGGAGAUUCUGUGUCAAUUACUUUUUCUGAGACUGAUAUGGAUUUCAAUUAUCUCAUUGGUGACCAUCCCCGUAGUGCUACGGAUUUUUAUCACUUUGUUCCUCAGUUGGCUGAACCUAAGGAUGCACCGGGGGUCCAAUUAGCCCCUAUCUUAGCCAUUCAAGUGACACU
rnacentral:lncRNA from 1 species